AUGCAAAAAGUCGGUGCUGAUGCUGCUGCAGCAGCAGAAGCAAUGGAGACAGAUGGGCACUCAAGUCGUGGGAUAGGGGCUCCACGCAAUACACAAGUACCUGCAGCAGUAGCAACUGAGAGUGAUGCUCAUACCCUUGAUGGCACAGGUGCUGCAGGUGAUCCUGGUGGGACUAUUGGUAAUGGUUUGGGUGCUGAAAAUGAUGAUGAAGCUUGGUCACAUCCCAAGGAGCCUUAUGUGGGCAUGAGGUUUGACACUUUCGAAGAUGCUAAGGAGCACCACAAUGCAUAUUCCUCGCAGAUGGGUUUUCGGUCAAAAUGA
rnacentral:rRNA from 1 species